UACGGGGGGGGUAAGCGUUGUUCGGAAUUACUGGGCGUAAAGGGCUCGUAGGCGGCCAACUAAGUCGGACGUGAAAUCCCUCAGCUUAACUGGGGAACUGCGUCUGAUACUGGAUGGCUUGGAUUUGGGAGAGGGAUGCGGAAUUCCAGGUGUAGCGGUGAAAUGCGUAGAUAUCUGGAGGAACACCGGUGGCGAAGGCGGCAUCCUGGACCGGUAUUGACGCUGAGGCGCGAAAGCCAGGGGAGCAAACGGG
rnacentral:rRNA from 1 species